GGGGACGUAGUAUAGUUUGGUCUAGUACCCAAGCUCGGGGAGCUUGUAACCCCAGUUCAAAUCUGGGCGUUCCCA
rnacentral:tRNA from 2 species